rnacentral:sRNA from 1 species
GCCGGGCGUUGUGGCGGGCGCCUGUAGUCCCAGCUACUUGGGAGGCAGAGGCAGGAGACUCGCUUGAGCCCAGGAGUUGGAGGUUGCUAUGAGCUGUAAUGCCACAGCACUCUACCCAGGGGGACAGCUUGAGGCUCUGUCUCAAAAAAAAAAAAAAAAAAAAGAUGAGCAUUGGUAAACAAAUAAUGUCAUUAAAAAGGUUUUUUGAAAUAGAGAAUUUUUUUUUUUUUUUGAGACAUAGAGUCUCACUGUAUAGCCCUCGGUAGAGUGUAAUGGUGUCACAGCUCACAGCAACUUCAAACUCUUGGG